ACUCCUACGGGAGGCAGCAGUGGGGAAUUUUGCGCAAUGGGGGAAACCCUGAUGCAGCAACGCCGCGUGGGUGAUGAAGGCCUUCGGGUUGUAAACCGCUUUUGUCAGGGAAGAAACGGUUUGGGUUAAUACCUGGAACUAAUGACGGUACCUGAAGAAUAAGCCCCGGCUAACUACGUGCCAGCAGCCGCGGUAAU
rnacentral:rRNA from 1 species